UACGUAGGGUGCAAGCGUUAAUCGGAAUUACUGGGCGUAAAGCGUGCGCAGGCGGCUCUGCAAGACAGAUGUGAAAUCCCCAGCUUAACCUGGGAACUGCGUGUGAUACUGGAUGGCUUGAAUCCGGGAGAGGGAUGCAGAAUUCCAGGUGUAGCGGUGAAAUGCGUAGAUAUCUGGAGGAAUACCGGUGGCGAAGGCGGCAUCCUGGACCGGCAUUGACGCUGAGGAGCGAAAGCCAGGGGAGCAAACGGG
rnacentral:rRNA from 1 species